GUAGCAACAACAGUUAGGGAUGCGUCCUUUUGGUUGUUUUAAAGGGCUGGAAUAAGUAUGUGAUUAUACAUUGCUAGAAUGUGAAAGUUAACGAUUGAAUGAGAGCCAAAUCCAAAUAAUAAAAAAUAUGGGGAUUUUGUCUCUGACGCUGGAUUUGAAGUUUCUUUGUUUUGGAAUUAUGUGGGCGUAGUGUACUUGAAAACGUUAAAGUCAUAUGUGAGGAACAAAUCUGACUGUUGGGGAGUGGUAUGGGAAUUGUCCACCUGGUAUACCUCAUGCACAAUGGGAAAUAUGGUUGACUAUUGGCAGACUCUUGAGUUUAAGUCGGGUGCACGCAACACAGAGAACAGAGAACAAUUGACUGGACAUCACACUUUUGGUUCAAAGUCCUUUAUGCGCCAUGCGUAUGAGGUAUAUAUUUUCCAGGCCUUGUAAUUAUAAUAAUCAUAAUACUCAUUCUAGUAUAUCCUUUCUAACAUACAGAUAGAAGUCGAAACCAAUCAACCAGCAACACGAAUGGAUAUAUAUGGAAGGACAUAUAACAAAUCUGAUGCUGGAAAAGAAAAAUUUAGGAAAAUGGAAGCGCUAAGAAAGAAAGCAGAAUAAAAUGGUGUCAUAGAAUCACUUCAGCAACUAGAUGGUGAUAGUUAUUCCCAAACUAUUGGACCUGACAAACGAGGACGAUAUCGCGGUGUUGGGAACCGCAUCAAACCCAAGAAAAGAUCCAGGGGAGAAUCUUCAAGUACAAGCAACACUGAUGACAUGCUCAAGGAGUUACAAGAACAUAUUGUGGUCAUAGAUCAGGAUCGUGAAGAAUUGCGAAAGGUGAAUGAGAGCUUGAUAAAGAGCAACGAAGAGACGAACAAAAAGAUGGACAAGUUGUUAGAAAUAUUUCAACUAAUCUCUCCUAAUCAUGUUGCUAUAUGUUUACCAAGCUCUUAAGUUAUCUAGAUUGUUUUAUAAGUUUACCAAGUUCUAGAGGACUAUUUAUCUAUUUAGGCUUAUCUGAUUAGAUAUUUUUAUUGACUCCUUGUGCAGGAUAUUGCUGCAAUGAUAUCAGCCAUCUAAUUAUAAUUUUGGAAGCUAAUCUGAUGCUUGGUUGCUGUCGGGGUCUUUUAACUUUGGAAUGGAGUUGAUUCUAGCAAAUACAUACAUAUGGUUUUGUAAAGGAGGUGAUUCUAGCAAAUACAUUGGUAGUUUAUUACUUCAGAAAAAGUUCUUUAAUAGUUGAUAUGUAGUGCCUUGGCAGAAUUCUAGCAUUUUGACAAACAUUUGUCUUUUAAUUUGUAUGGUAACUUGAGAUUUUGGUACUUUCAGAAACAAUUGUCAAAUUGUUACUUUGAGAAUGAAAGAAAAUAAAAUCUUGUUAUGAA